rnacentral:antisense_RNA from 21 species
CGUAUCCAAAGAUCACGCCUGGAUCAAGUGUGGGGCUGGUGAUUAAUCUCACGUCGCCACCACCUGGAGCCCAGGUGUCAUAGAUGCCGCCAAAGAAGCAGGCCUUGAGGAUCAGAGCAAGAGCUCCCCAGCCUAGAAAAAUCAGGUUGUAACCAAGAAUGUUGGUCAUCUGAUUUUUGUCUUUCCA